UACGGGGGGGGCAAGCGUUGUUCGGAAUUACUGGGCGUAAAGGGUGCGUAGGCGGUGCUCUAAGUCGGAUGUGAAAACUCUGGGCUCAACCCAGAGCCUGCAUCCGAAACUGGAGUGCUAGAGUUCUGGAGGGGGUAGCGGAAUUCCUGGUGUAGCGGUGAAAUGCGUAGAUAUCAGGAAGAACACCCGUGGCUAAGGCGGUUCUCUAGUACGGUACUGACGCUGAGACGCGAAAGCGUGGGGAGCGAACAGG
rnacentral:rRNA from 1 species